AUGGUUUGGAAGGUUGGAACCAAGAGUCUUCAGACUACUCUGGAGGAUCUCUGAUCCAUUCCCUGGGAGGGGAAAGGUCGGUCUGUGCUGCCCACUUCACGUGCCAGUAACGAGGUUAAACACACAGGAGUAUUCCUGGCUGGAAAGGAAGGAACUAAGGAUACAGGAACUCCUCCAAUUUUCGCAAGUUACUCUGGGCAACCUCUCUCAGAUACCGAACAUUAACAGUGCUUAACCCCCGACCGCCCCUCUUCGUACCUAGGGCUUAACCCGCCAGCGGCGCAGCGCUCCCCAGCCUGGACAACGGCCUAGCAGGAGAGACACCGAGGGGCCGGCGCUCGGCCCCAGGGAGGUUCUUCCUUCGGGGCCGCCUCUCCGAGCGCUGCGGCUGAGCCCGCUGCGGGCCCGGGGCGCGUCGCAGGCAGGUCUUUUCUUGAGUAACCCAUAAUCUGAUUGAAGGCAUCUUCCAGCAAGUGGUCUCUCCUGAUGAUUAAUCUGCACAGCAAGCGUGGGAAACCUUGCCCUACUUGGACACCACCUGACGAUGGCUGAGGAGCUGAGCAGAGAACCAAAUGAGAAGACAUGGAGAUGAGACUGAAGUGCGCUAUUUAUGGCCUUGCAGCUGACAGGCUGGAUGCAUGCGUGCAAGAUCCUGAAAGAGCGUAACUGCACUAUUGCAAAGGUCCAAGGCCACUACACA